ensembl:lncRNA
GGGCUGUGGGGCAGGCAAUGCUAUGGGGCAGGGAGUGCUGUGCUAUGGGGCAGGCGAUGCUAUGGGGCUGACAAUGCUAUGGGGCAGGCGAUGCUAUGGGGCUGUGGGGCAGACGAUGGUAUGGAACAGGCAGUGCUAUGGGGCAGGCAAUGCUAUGGGGCAGGGAGUGCUGUGCUAUGGGGCAGGCGAUGCUUUGGGGCAGGCGAUGCUAUGGGGCUGUGGGGCAGGCAAUGCUAUGGGGCAGGCGAUGCUAUGGGGCUGACGAUGCUAUGGGGCAGGGAGUGCUGUGCUAUGGGGCAGGCGAUGCUAUGGGGCUGACAAUGCUAUGGGGCAGUCGAUGCUAUGGGGCUGUGGGGCAGGUGAUGCUAUGGGGCUGUGGGGCAGGCAAUGCUAUGGGGCAGGGAGUGCUGAGCUAUGGGGCAGGAGAUGCUAUGGGGCAGGCGAUGCUAUGGGGCAGGGAGUGCUGUGCUAUGGGGCAGGCGAUGCUAUGGGGCUGACAAUGCUAUGGGGCAGGCGAUGCUAUGGGGCUGUGGGGCAGGUGAUGCUAUGGGGCUGUGGGGCAGGUAAUGCUAUGGGGCAGGGAGUGCUGUGCUAUGGGGCAGGCGAUGCUAUGGGGCUGUGGGGCAGGCAAUGCUAUGGGGCUGGGAGUGCUGUGCUAUGGGGCAGGCGAUGCUAUGGUGCUGUGGGUCGCGAUGUGGGGCAGCUGCUGACCUUCCCCCCC